GGCCCCGUGGUCAAGCGGUUAAGACAUCGCCCUUUCACGGCGGAGACAUGGGUUCGAUUCCCGUCGGGGUCACCA
rnacentral:tRNA from 8 species